rnacentral:rRNA from 1 species
UACAGAGGGGGCAAGCGUUGUUCGGAAUUACUGGGCGUAAAGGGCGCGUAGGCGGCCAACUAAGUCAGACGUGAAAUCCCUCGGCUUAACCGGGGAACUGCAUCUGAUACUGGAUGGCUUGAGAUUGGGAGAGGGAUGCGGAAUUCCAGGUGUAGCGGUGAAAUGCGUAGAUAUCUGGAGGAACACCGGUGGCGAAGGCGGCAUCCUGGACCAACACUGACGCUGAGGAGCGAAAGCCAGGGGAGCAAACGGG